rnacentral:rRNA from 1 species
UACGUAGGGGGCAAGCGUUGUUCGGAAUUACUGGGCGUAAAGGGCGCGUAGGCGGCAUGGCAAGUCAGGAGUGAAAGGCCUGGGCUCAACCGAGGAACUGCUUUUGAUACUGCCAAGCUAGAGUGCGGAAGGGGCAACUGGAAUUCCCCAGUGUAGCGGUGAAAAUGCGUAGAUAUUGGGAAGAACACCUGAGGCGAAGGCGGGUUGCUGGGCCGACACUGACGCUGAGGGCGCGAAAA